UACGGAGGGGGCUAGCGUUAUUCGGAAUUACUGGGCGUAAAGCGCACGUAGGCGGACCAGAAAGUUAGGGGUGAAAUCCCGGGGCUCAACCUCGGAACUGCCUCUAAAACUCCUGGUCUUGAGUUCGAGAGAGGUGAGUGGAAUUCCGAGUGUAGAGGUGAAAUUCGUAGAUAUUCGGAGGAACACCAGUGGCGAAGGCGGCUCACUGGCUCGAUACUGACGCUGAGGUGCGAAAGCGUGGGGAGCAAACAGG
rnacentral:rRNA from 1 species